rnacentral:rRNA from 1 species
GAUCAUGGCUCAGGAUGAACGCUAGCGACAGGCUUAACACAUGCAAGUCGAGGGGCAACACAGGUAGCAAUACCGGGUGGCGACCGGCGCACGGGUGAGUAACGCGUAUGCAACUUACCUAUCAGAGGGGGAUAACCCGGCCAAAGUCGGACUAAUACCGCAUGAAGCAGGGGUCCCGCAUGGGGAUAUUUGCUAAAGAUUCAUCGAUGAUAGAUAGGCAUGCGUUCCAUUAGG